AGUCUGACCUGCCCUAUGAAUAAUUUACUUUUAAAUGGCUGCGGUAAUUUGACCGUGCAAAGGUAGCAUAAUAAUUAGUUUUUUAAUUGGGAACUGGCAUGAAUGGUCGAACGAGAAAAGAACUGUCUCAAUUUAAUUUAAAUUAGAAUUUUAUUUUUAAGUAAAAAAGCUUAAAUGUAUUUAAAAGACGAGAAGACCCUAUAGAGUUUUAUAUUAUUAAGUAUUUUUAAAAGUUAAAGAAUUAUAGAUUUAAUUAUAUUUAAUGAUAUUUGGUUGGGGCAAUUAAAAAAUUAAAUAAAUUUUUUUUAAAUUUUAACAUUAAUGAAUGAUUAAGUGAUCCAUAAUUUAUGAUUAAAAGAUUAAAUUACCUUAGGGAUAACAGCGUAAUUUUUUUUAAGAGUUCUUAUCGAAAAAAAAGUUUGCGACCUCGAUGUUGGAUUAAAAUUAACUUUUGGCGUAGCAACUAAAAAAGUUAGGUCUGUUCGACCUUUAAAAUUUU
rnacentral:rRNA from 1 species